AUUGAACGCUGGCGGCAUGCUUUACACAUGCAAGUCGAACGGUAACAGGCCGCAAGGUGCUGACGAGUGGCGAACGGGUGAGUAAUGCAUCGGAACGUGCCCAGUCGUGGGGGGUAACUACUCGAAAGAGUAGCUAAUACCGCAUACGAUCUAUGGAUGAAAGCGGGGGACCGUAAGGCCUCGCGCGAUUGGAGCGGCCGAUGUCAGAUUAGGUAGUUGGUGGGGUAAAGGCUCACCAAGCCAACGAUCUGUAGCUGGUCUGAGAGGACAACCAGCCACACUGGGACUGAGACACGGCCCAGACUCCUACGGGAGGCAGCAGUGGGGAAUUUUGGACAAUGGGCGCAAGCCUGAUCCAGCAAUGCCGCGUGCAGGAAGAAGGCCUUCGGGUUGUAAACUGCUUUUGUACGGAACGAAACGGCUCUGGUUAAUACCCGGGGCUAAUGACGGUACCGUAAGAAUAAGCACCGGCUAACUACGUG
rnacentral:rRNA from 1 species